AAGUCGUAACAAGGUAACCGUAGGUGAACCUGCGGUUGGAUCAUUACCAAUAUGUGACAUACCUUUCAUUUCUGGGGUUGUGGCCUUUAAAACAAAAACCACCUUUCUAUUAUUGAUUUGGUAGUCUUGCGUUUGUUCUGGACGCGGUUGCGAGUUUUCGCGGCCGAACCCCCUUGCUCCGCGUUCCAGUUCCGUACUGGGCAACCAGUCCAAGCUACCAAUCGGGAUUUAUAAUCCCAAAAUGUACAAACCCUAUAUUUACCUAUACAGGCUAAAAUAACACAAGUGUUUUGUCCAACGAUGAAACGUUUAUAAAAAAAUUGUAAAAACAACUUUUGACAACGGAUCUCUUGGCUCUC
rnacentral:misc_RNA from 1 species